UACGUAGGGUGCAAGCGUUAAUCGGAAUUACUGGGCGUAAAGCGUGCGCAGGCGGUUCUGUAAGUCUGUCGUGAAAUCCCCGGGCUUAACCUGGGAAUGGCAUUUGGGACUGCAAGGCUGGAGUGUGGCAGAGGAGACUGGAAUUCCUGGUGUAGCAGUGAAAUGCGUAGAUAUCAGGAGGAAUACCGAUGGCGAAGGCAGGUCUCUGGGCUGACACUGACGCUCAUGCACGAAA
rnacentral:rRNA from 1 species